rnacentral:rRNA from 1 species
GACGAACCGUGCAAACGUUGUUCGGAAUCACUGGGCUUAAAGGGCGCGUAGGCGGUGUGUUAAGUCGGCGGUGAAAUACUUCGGCUCAACCGUAGAAUUGCCGCUGAAACUGGCACGCUAGAGAGAGGUAGAGGUGCGUGGAACUUCCGGUGGAGUGGUGAAAUACGUUGAUAUCGGAAGGAACGCCGGUGGCGAAAGCGACGCACUGGACCUUUACUGACGCUGAGGCGCGAAAGCUAGGGGAGCGAACGGG